AAGCCCUGAUUCUCUGGAACUGUUUUGGGCAUGGGACCAUGCUUGCGGUCGGUCAAAUAAAGGACUUCCAUGGAAUUUUUGAACCUUUGCUCUGAUCUGGGUUAUUUUUGGAUAUGUUGUUCACCCAGAUCAGGGCUAUCAGGGGAUUUAUGGGGAUAUGCUGUGUUUUGGGGUACUUUUGGGACUUUUUUAAAAAGUGUGGUUUUUCUGCCUGGAGAUAAUUGAGUUCAUACAGUAAUUAACUCAAUUAUCUCCCAAGCAGAGGGGAGGGAUUGUUUGCCUUGUGUGGGAGUGUGUAUGUCUGAGUGAUUUUGUGUGUCUGGCUAUCAGUGUGUAUGUGAGUGAUUGUGUAUGUAUGUCUGUCAAUGUGUAUGUGAGUGAUUGUGUAUGUCUGGCUGUCAAUGUGUAUGUGAGUGAUUAUGUAUGUAUGUCUGUCAGUGUGUAUGUGAGUGAUUGUGUAUGUCUGUCAGUGUGUAUCUGAGUGAUUGUGUGUGUCUGGCUGUCAGUGUGUGUAUGUGAGUGUGUGUAUGUCUGUCAGUGUGUCUGUCACUGUGUGGCUGUCUGUCAGUGAGUGAGAGUGUGUGUGUGUCUGCAGGGACAUGUCUUCUGCGAGGCAAACAAGGCAUCUGCCUUGGGCAAAAAAAGCCGCCCCCCAAACGCCCUUGCUUGCCUCGCGUCCUGGGGGGUUUAAGGGCUGGCCGGAUGUGGGCAGCAAGGGAG